rnacentral:rRNA from 1 species
AGCGAACGCUGGCGGCAGGCCUAACACAUGCAAGUCGUACGGGUCGGUGUAGCAAUACAACGGCAAGUGGCGAAAGGGAGAGUAACACGUAGAUACCUACCCUCUGGUCGGGGAUACCGCGGCAUAACCGCAAGUAAUACCCGAUAAAAUCUCCGGAUCAAAGGUGUGAUUCCGCCGGAGGAGGGGUCUGCGUUCUAUCAGCUUGUUGGUGAGGUAAUGGCUCACCAAGGCUAAGACGGAUACGGGGUGUGAGAGCAUGCCCCCGCUCACUGGGACUGAGACACUGCCCAGACACCUACGGGUGGCUGCAGUCGAGAAUCUUCGGCAAUGGGCGCAAGCCUGACCGAGCGACGCCGCGUGCGGGAUGAAGGCCUUCGGGUUGUAAACCGCUGUCGAGGGGAAUGAAGUGUAGGUGGGUACUCCCAUCUAUUCGACAGAUCCCUGGAGGAAGCAUGGGCUAAGUUCGUGCCAGCAGCCGCAGUAAAAC